rnacentral:rRNA from 1 species
AUUGAACGCUGGCGGCAUGCCUUACACAUGCAAGUCGAACGGCAGCACGGGAGCAAUCCUGGUGGCGAGUGGCGAACGGGUGAGUAAUAUAUCGGAAUGUGCCCAGUCGUGGGGGAUAACGUAGCGAAAGCUACGCUAAUACCGCAUACGAUCUAUGGAUGAAAGCGGGGGAUCGCAAGACCUCGCGCGAUUGGAGCGGCCGAUAUCAGAUUAGGUAGUUGGUGAGGUAAAGGCUCACCAAGCCGACGAUCUGUAGCUGGUCUGAGAGGACGACCAGCCACACUGGGACUGAGACACGGCCCAGACUCCUACGGGAGGCAGCAGUGGGGAAUUUUGGGACAAUGGGCGCAAGCCUGAUCCAGCAAUGCCGCGUGCAGGAUGAA